rnacentral:rRNA from 1 species
GUUAAGCGACUAAGCGUACACGGUGGAUGCCCUGGCAGUCAGAGGCGAUGAAGGGCGUGCUAAUCUGCGAUAAGCGCCGGUAAGGUGAUAUGAACCGUUAUAACCGGCGAUACCCGAAUGGGGAAACCCAGUGUGAUUCGUCACACUAUCAUUAACUGAAUCCAUAGGUUAAUGAGGCGAACCGGGGGAACUGAAACAUCUAAGUACCCCGAGGAAAAGAAAUCAACCGAGAUUCCCCCAGUAGCGGCGAGCGAACGGGGAGGAGCCCAGAGCCUGAAUCAGCAUGUGUGUUAGUGGAAGCGUCUGGAAAGGCGCGCGAUACAGGGUGACAGCCCCGUACACAAAAGCGCAUGUGCUGUGAGCUCGAUGAGUAGGGCGGGACACGUGGUAUCCUGUCUGAAUAUGGGGGGACCAUCCUCCAAGGCUAAAUACUCCUGACUGACCGAUAGUGAACCAGUACCGUGAGGGAAAGGCGAAAAGAACCCCGGCGAGGGGAGUGAAAAAGAACCUGAAACCGUGUACGUACAAGCAGUGGGAGCCCCACCACUAAGCCAGUGGUGAACUCCACAUCCGCAUCCUUUGCUGAGGAUACGGUU